rnacentral:rRNA from 1 species
GAUAACUGUGGUAAUUCUAGAGCUAAUACAUGCACCAAAGCUCUGCCCCCUUCGCGGGGGGAAGAGUGCAUUUAUUAGAGCAUAACCAGGCGGGCCCGCUCUCGCAAGGGAGCGCGGCUCGUACCGUGUUGACUCAGAAUAACUCUAGCUGAUCGCAUGGUCCUUGUACCGGCGACGUGUCUUUCAAGUGUCUGCCUUAUCAACUUUCGAUGGUAGUGUAUCUGACUACCAUGGUUGUGUACGGGUAACGGAGGAUAAGGGUUCGACUCCGGAGAAGGGGCCUGAGAAAUGGCCACUACGUCUAAGGAUGGCAGCAGGCGCGCAAAUUACCCACUCUCGGCGCGAGGAGGUAGUGACGAAAAAUAACGAGACCGUUCUCCAAAGAGGCCGGUCAUCGGAAUGGGUACAAUUUAAA